UUCUCCUGAGAGAAAGGAGGAGGAAGAGGCUCACACUGCUGUAGAAGUGACCUAACAACCUAUUUCUCCAGGGUUCCCAAACGCCUCACAACCUGCACCGUCUCCUCAGCCCUGGCUGGAACAUGGUGGGCACUGGAGUUUGCGAGUGUGCUUUACAAUUUAUCUAACCUUUUGAAGUAAGAGAUGUGGCCAUGUGACUAGGUUUUCUCCAGAGAAAUAUGAGCAGAAGUGUCUGUGAUCUCAUAGAGAUCAUGCAGAUGAAGACAAUACCUAGGGGAUGGUAUGCCAGAAAGAUGGAAGAAAACUGAGUCCCCAGAUAACUAUGGAGCACAGCUGCCCACCAAUCUGGAUACAUUACCUCAGGGCCGUUAUUUGGAAGAUAAAUAAAGUAUUACUUAAGCCAC